UGGGGAAUUUUGGACAAUGGGCGCAAGCCUGAUCCAGCAAUGCCGCGUGCAGGAUGAAGGCCUUCGGGUUGUAAACUGCUUUUGUACGGAACGAAAAGCCUCUCUCUAAUACAGGGGGGCUGAUGACGGUACCGUAAGAAUAAGCACCGGCUAACUACGUGCCAGCAGCCGCGGUAAUACGUAGGGUGCAAGCGUUAAUCGGAAUUACUGGGCGUAAAGCGUGCGCAGGCGGUUUUGUAAGACAGUGGUGAAAUCCCCGGGCUCAACCUGGGAACUGCCAUUGUGACUGCAAGGCUGGAGUGCGGCAGAGGGGGAUGGAAUUCCGCGUGUAGCAGUGAAAUGCGUAGAUAUGCGGAGGAACACCGAUGGCGAAGGCAAUCCCCUGGGCCUGCACUGACGCUCAUGCACGAAAGCGUGGGGAGCAAAACAGGAUUAGAUACCCCU
rnacentral:rRNA from 1 species